UACGGAGGAUGCAAGCGUUAUCCGGAUUUAUUGGGUUUAAAGGGUGCGUAGGCGGGCUUUUAAGUCAGCUGUGAAAGUUUGCGGCUCAACCGUAAAAUUGCAGUUGAAACUGGGAGCCUUGAGUAUGGCAAAGGCUGGUGGAAUUCGUGGUGUAGCGGUGAAAUGCUUAGAUAUCACGAAGAACUCCGAUUGCGUAGGCAACUGGCUGGACCAUAACUGACGCUGAGGCA
rnacentral:rRNA from 1 species